rnacentral:rRNA from 1 species
AUUGAACGCUGGCGGCAUGCCUUACACAUGCAAGUCGAACGGCAGCACGGGGGCAACCCAGGUGGCGAGUGGCGAACGGGUGAGUAAUACAUCGGAACGUGCCCGGUAGUGGGGGAUAGCUCGGCGAAAGCCGGAUUAAUACCGCAUACGACCUGCGGGUGAAAGCGGGGGAUCGCAGGACCUCGCGCUAUCGGAGCGGCCGAUGUCAGAUUAGGUUGUUGGUGGGGUAAAGGCCUACCAAGCCGACGAUCUGUAGCUGGUCUGAGAGGACGACCAGCCACACUGGGACUGAGACACGGCCCAGACUCCUACGGGAGGCAGCAGUGGGGAAUUUUGGACAAUGGGCGCAAGCCUGAUCCAGCCAUGCCGCGUGCGGGAAGAAGGCCUGG